rnacentral:rRNA from 1 species
AACGUAGGAGCCAAGCGUUAUCCGAAUUCACUGGGCGUAAAGCGCGUGCAGGCGGCCUGGUAAGUUGGCUGUGAAAUCUCCUGGCUCAACUGGGAGAGGCCGGUCAAUACUGUCAGGCUCGAGGGCGACAGAGGGAGGUGGAAUUCCGGGUGUAGUGGUGAAAUGCGUAGAUAUCCGGAGGAACACCAGAGGCGAAGGCGACCUCCUGGGUCGUACCUGACGCUCAGAUGCGAAAGCUAGGGGAG